AAAAAAAUCACCUGCUGGGGAAUACAAUUUGUUCCAUUGAUGGCAAAGUUGAAGCUAGCAUGGCAAAAUGAGAUCAUGGGUCACAUUUUCACAGCUCUUUACUUAAAAUUAUCAUUGGAAUAGCUUUUUUUUUUUUUUCAAAAAGGAGAAACUCGCCCAACACAGUUACCACAUUUUGGUUUGUUUCCUAUCCUUUUUAGAAUUGUAAUUUCAGAAGGCUGACCAUAUAAUAGAUGCCCACGCUACAUAUGGUGAAAGGAAUGCUAAUGAAGGACAGGAGAGGAGAUCAAACCUCCACUACCAGAGGGAGACUGCCUGCUGCUCCCACCUCCACCGCCAGAGGAGCUGGAGCUACCUCCUGAGAGUACUCUCCUACCGUCACCUCCCGAGGGAUGCUCCUGCCCUGUCCUGCAAUGCCUGGGGAUGCCAAGUCUGCAAUGACCAGGGAUGCCUGUUCGUCAGUGCCCGGGGAUUGCUAUGCAUGCCCCACUCGACCUCUCCACUCCUCUACUGACCAACUAGGCUUACCUUCCCGCCACUUGCCACCAUCUCCUCAAGACCCACCUGUUUAGACUGCACUUGUAGAUCUUUUGAUCUGCCCCUCCUACUAUGCACUGGAAUUCCCAGAUCUGUUCACCACAUUCCUGUAUUCCUAGCUGAUGCACUGUCCUAGCACUAUAU